rnacentral:rRNA from 1 species
UACGGAGGGUGCGAGCGUUGUUCGGAAUCACUGGGCGUAAAGCGCGUGUAGGCGGCCUGCUAAGUCUGAUGUGAAAGCCCGAGGCUCACCCUCGGAAGGGCAUUGGAAACUGGCAGACUGGAGUCCCGGAGAGGAGGGUGGAAUUCCUGGUGUAGCGGUGAAAUGCGUAGAUAUCAGGAGGAACACCGGUGGCGAAGGCGGCGCUCUGGACCGAGACUGACGCUGAGGCGCGAAAGCGUGGGGAGCAAACAGG